GGCAGCGUAUCACAAACAGACACAGACUGCCCGGCGAGACAUCGGCUUCUACCGAAUUGACAUUUUGCGGCAAUCCAUAGCCCCCCAUGACCCCCGUAACCCCUUGGAGCCAGCGAUUGACUGGCAUAAAGCAUGCCUCACAUGUAAAUUCGAUUAAUGCAAAUGCCACUACAGCCAGCAAUUGUGCACAUAUAUAGUACGUAUAUAUCCCCGAUUCUCUGUCAGUGUGCGCAUAUAAUUAAAGCCACUUCCUCCACGAGCACAAGUCCGACUUGGAAACCCAACAAAGUCAGCCAAACCACACAGUUGAACUUCAAUGGUGAAUUUUUUGAAAUGAAGGCAAGUAUUCGAAACUCAAGAUAUAGAUGCUAUUUCGACGCAUUAACUGAUUGAAAGAGUCAUAACAGCUAUAAAAUAUCACAUGUCUUGUUCUAUCUGACUUUAGUAUGUAGCGAGUAAUUAGUGGUUGUGUUUGAAAAUCCGUCAUACAGAAUCUUGACUGUAGUUCCAAAGUGCGGAGAGUUACAGGCGGCGUCACCUUGUCGUCGUUUUCGCUGGCAUCUCGGGCCCAAUAGGAAAUUCAAAACCCGCCUUAGGUUGAUUUAUCAACAGCGGCAAAAAACAUUCUCAUGCAAAACGUGUAACAAUUUGUUGGCUUUACAUAAGAGGGCGACGGGCAGAAAUAGAACUCGUAAUCGUAAGCGUAAACAAACGCGAAAUCAAUUAAAAGCAAAUUAAAUUCAUCGGCAGCUGCUUGGCUAAUGGGAAAAAACAGCCAUGUGUGAUGUAAAAUAAUCCUCGGAUGUAAUUUAGAUACCUGUAAUUCUGGAUAUGGCCUGUUAUUUUUGGAUGUCGAGUUAAAGUACUAAUUGGAAUAGAAAGGCUGUGAUGCUUAGUAGAUUUUAAUUUCAGGCGGUUUGAGCACAUUUUAAACAUGAUAGCCAUUAACAAGCAUGACUUGAGUAGAACACGUAUAGUCUGACGGAUUUACUUUUCCUUAUCUAUAUCCAGUUGUUUGUUUAUACGGAUUUGGCCGUCAUGCACCUGACUUUCCCUCUAAUCUCCCAUUCACUCAAAAGUCGCUGAACAUGAUGAUGUUGCCUGACGUACACAGAGAGAUAUAUGUAUGUAUCU